rnacentral:rRNA from 1 species
ACGCUCGACACCUACGGGAGACAGCAGUCGGGAAUAUUGCGCAAUGGAGGAAACUCUGACGCAGUGACGCCGCGUAUAGGAAGAAGGUUUUCGGAUUGUAAACUAUUGUCGUUAGGGAAGAGAAAGGACAGUACCUAAGGAGGAAGCUCCGGCUAACUACGUGACAGCAGCCGCGGUAAUCUGAGCGGGCUGGCAAGGC